AAAGGUUCUUUAGGGCACCCAAAAUAAUUCUUCUAUGACAUGACCAGAAAACCCCCUUUUGGAACCUUUAUUUUUAAGAGUGU